rnacentral:rRNA from 1 species
AGCAGCCGCGGUAAUUCCAGCUCCAAUAGCGUAUAUUAAAGUUGUUGCAGUUAAAAAGCUCGUAGUUGAAUUUCGGGAUCAAUAUGCUGGUCGUGCCAUUGGUACGUACUAGUAUUAUUGGUUUCUUCCUUCUGAUGAAUCAUGAUGUCAUUAAGUUGAUGUCAUGGGGAAUCAGGACUGUUACUUUGAAAAAUUAGAGUGUUUAAAGCAGGCUCGCGCUUGAAUACAUUAGCAUGGAAUAAUGAAAUAGGACGUUUGAUUCUAUUUUGUUGGUUUCUAGGAUUGACGUAAUGAUUAAUAGGGAUAGUUGGGGGCAUUAGUAUUCAAUUGUCAGAGGUGAAAUUCUUGGAUUUAUUGAAGACUAACUACUGCGAAAGCACUUGCCAAGGAUGUUUUCAUUAAUCAAGAACGAAAGUUAGGGGAUCGAAGACGAUCAGAUACCGUCGUAGU